CUCCGCGCCGCAGGCGCCUCGUUUCUGGCGUCACGCGCAGCAUGGCUGCCCAAAGGCGACGUGAGGCUUUUCGCUGCCCUUCCUGCCUCUCCUGCCAUGGCCGCCCGAGAGACCACGUUGGAAAGCUUAUUUAGCGUGCCCUCUUUAUGGCACUUUUCGCCUUCAUAUGGACCGGAUCUUCCUUUGGCCUGCGUGCCUAAGAGACCCACGCCGUCAAAAUCAUCUGUUUGCCAUCUCAAAGACCAUAGCUGAAAGAUAAUUUCCAGUGCGAAGUUUCUGGCUAAGGGAGAGAACACAGGAACGGUCCACAUCAGAGGUCCCAGAGAAGAGUCUCACACAAAGGCCACGUCUCUUGUUUGCAGCUGGGGUUGACUGCUCCAGGGCCCCGAAGACACCGACCGGGCACUUGAUCUCCCAGAACAUUCAUCAGAGAAACGACGAGCAUCAGACCGUGAUCGACGACGUGUUCUCUGCUGGAGAUGGAGAGCGGCAGACAGACCGAUUCACGCAAAGGGAGAUGCUGGCAGUCCCGUCAUUCGUGAGGCCGAUGCCAGGAAGGAGCUGCAUGGGACCAUCAGCGGGGCGCUAGCCGUGCCGAGAAGGAGAAACCCGCAGUCUAAACGGGGGACCCACGGGUUGCAUCGCACCUGAACGGAGUCCGAGACAGGACCCACCGCCCUCCUGGAUGAACGCGGGGACUUCCUUUGCAGCCUGCUGGGCGACUCCUUGAAAGCGAGCAAAUGAACGUCACGGUGUCGAGCCAGUUUUGGAGCUGAUUUUUCCUCGGUGGUUAUUUUUGCAGCUUCUCAUGUCAUUCUGUCUGGGGUGGAAAUCUUCAGCCGUCGCUGAAACAAAACUUGUCCCACUGAAAAACAGGACCGUAUCUAAAAUUUGAAUGGGAGCUGCUCUGUCGGUCCAUCCGAUCUGUGCCACUGUAUCUCUAGAAAUUAGUAUUGAAUCAUGGUGUGAGGUUUUCUGGUGAGUCCUCAAAUGAGCUAUGAACUCGCUAACCUUGGAGCCACCCAGAAAAACAAAGGCCCACGUAGGACGUGAGGAUGUGGUCUGAGCUGGUUUAACUAGAGCUUCACUGGAACGGCCGAGCUUCAUGAGGUUAGAGUGCCGUGACCUUGGCGUCAGGUUCUGUCAUUCUCAGGGAUGUCCUGCCUUUGCCCCUGUGUCUGAGAGCCACUGCACGAACCGUCACUGAGCCUGCAGAGUUGUAUACGUUCACCCUGUGAGCUUGGGUGGCCUUUGGCAGACGUGGGGCGGGGGUGACCCCUCACAACGAAGUUGUAAAUUCAUUGUUGCUGAACAUUUCCUUUUCAAAUCAGCUUUUAUUUAUUGAACUUGUAAUUGGGGCUGGAUGGCCCCUUGUUAGUUAAUGAUUUUAUUUUAAUCUCUUCCUCAUAAACUGUAAGUAUAAAAAGUCAAUUCAGUAUCACA